GAAAAUUUAUUUUUACUCUCAGCGAGUCAGCGCCCUAUUUUUCGUUUUCAAGUCAACUCAUCAACUGAAAUGCAAACUUUUGAACCAGUAAUUUCCGAAAUUAUCCAAUUCGCCUCGAAGGUUAUGGCCUAAUGGUAUAAUGGUAAUAUUCAGGAUGAUUUUUAUUCUCAACUCAACGAUUUGAUUGUAAAAAUAAAAUGUUGUGAUUUCCCACCAUCUGUGAUUGGCGCUAGUUGAUGUCGCCCCAUUUCCCUUUGAUAGCUACAUACCGCGCGAUUUACGUGGAAAAGUACAAAUUAAAAUGCGGAUCUUGGAGCACGUUUACCGCUUACGGGUUUGUAUCAUAACGGAAUGUUGUGUCAAACGUGCCUGAAAAAUGUAUCAGACAUUCAGUUGCGUAAACCGGUGGAAGAACCUACCGUCUGACCACACCGCAACCUGAAAAGUCGGAAGUAAAAAGAGAAGUCGGUGUUGGUUGAAGGGAAUGAACAGAGAGACAGAUAAUGACAGGGGAGGAGAGAGAGAGUCGAAUAGAAAGUGGGUGGGGUCGUGUGUGUAGCCGUUGUGCUCGUUUCGUAAAAGAGAGUACCGUUCGCCCUCUUUCCUCUCCGUGACCCAGCCCAUCCGCCUGUUUUAUUUCUUUUUCUACCAGGGACGACAUGUCGGAAACAGCUUGGUUGGUCUGUGUAACACACCCUUCGGCCGCCCUUUCACAUUUCUACCUCCCCCUCAGAGGUCGGCGAUAGAAAGAAACUUCCGCCAACAGGCGCCCUAUCGCCAUCGGCAAGAAAAAGCAACACGCCUUCCUAAGAAAUGGUCAUAUUUUCGAAACGGUUCCAGUGCACGAAACAAAACACCUACACAGUUUUUCUACUCCUUAGAGCUACCUUUUAUUCUGUUGUCAACAGAAGAUAUUGGAAUGUUCAUUCAGGACGCAUCACAUUUUUUUUUAUAUUUAUGUAAUGCAUCUCCAAUGUCACGAACCGCUAUAUGCGACGAAUAAAAAAUAAAAAAACAACCGGGUCACACA